AACGAACGCUGGCGGCAUGCCUAACACAUGCAAGUCGAACGAGACCUUCGGGUCUAGUGGCGCACGGGUGCGUAACGCGUGGGAACCUGCCCUUAGGUUCGGAAUAACUCCCCGAAAGGGGUGCUAAUACCGGAUAAUGUCUUCGGACCAAAGAUUUAUCGCCUUUGGAUGGGCCCGGGUUGGAUUAGCUAGUUGGUAGGGUAAAAGCCUACCAAGACGACGAUCCAUAGCUGGUCUGAGAGGAGGAUCAGCCACACUGGGACUGAGACACGGCCCAGACUCCUACGGGAGGCAGCAGUGGGGAAUAUUGGACAAUGGGCGAAAGCCUGAUCCAGCAAUGCCGCGUGAGUGAUGAAGGCCUUAGGGUUGUAAAGCUCUUUUACCCGGGAUGAUAAUGACAGUACCGGGAGAAUAAGCGCCGGCUAACUCCGUG
rnacentral:rRNA from 1 species